GUCCCUGUAGAGCAAUGAAGAGCGCGUUGGACUUCUCAUCCAAAGGUGAUGAGUUCGAACCCCAUCAGGGAUG